AACGCAUUAAGCACUCCGCCUGGGGAGUACGGUCGCAAGACUGAAACUCAAAGGAAUUGACGGGGGCCCGCACAAGCGGUGGAGCAUGUGGUUUAAUUCGAAGCAACGCGAAGAACCUUACCAGGUCUUGACAUCCUCUGACAACUCUAGAGAUAGAGCGUUCCCCUUCGGGGGACAGAGUGACAGGUGGUGCAUGGUUGUCGUCAGCUCGUGUCGUGAGAUGUUGGGUUAAGUCCCGCAACGAGCGCAACCCUUGAUCUUAGUUGCCAGCAUUAAGUUGGGCACUCUAAGGUGACUGCCGGUGACAAACCGGAGGAAGGUGGGGAUGACGUCAAAUCAUCAUGCCCCUUAUGACCUGGGCUACACACGUGCUACAAUGGAUGGUACAAAGGGCUGCAAGACCGCGAGGUCAAGCCAAUCCC
rnacentral:rRNA from 1 species